rnacentral:lncRNA from 1 species
UCUGACAGCCAGUGGCAGGGAAGGAGAUACGCAGCUCCGUCUUGACUCAGAUAACCAACGAUGAGGUGAAAUCAGGAUGUGCAAUGCUCUGCCCAGGAGUCGACAGCUCGCUCUAUAGCUUCUGUAUCAUCACCUGAAAUUUGCAGGCAGGCAUUGAAGAGACUUCAGCUGUUACAAUACUUUUUAUUCCCAAGUUUGACAAGCGCCCUCUGAUUAAGCCACAUGUAAGUGCUAGAUACUUGGACGCAUGUUCUAAAUACUGUUUUCCUGCAGACAGCUGAAUGAGUAGUCGAAAUUUGUUGUCCUGAAGUACAUAUAUGCCCUGAUGAUUUGUCCUUAGAUUGUCGAUCUGUUUCUUGAAUACUGUAGUCCAAAAAUCUUUACAGAUGAACUUC